CAAGUCGAGCGAGGCCAGGGGGGCAACUCCCUGAGUCGAGCGGCGGACGGGUGAGUAACACGUGGGUAACCUACCCGGAAGUGGGGAAUACCUCGGGGAAACUCGAGCUAAUACCGCAUUACAUCUUCGGGACGAAAGUUCUGACGAUCAAAGCGGGGUCGCAAGAUCUCGCGCUACCGGAUGGGCCCGCGCCCGAUUAGCUAGUUGGUGAGGUAACGGCUCACCAAGGCGACGAUCGGUAACCGGCCUGAGAGGGCGAUCGGUCACACCGGAACUGAGACACGGUCCGGACUCCUACGGGAGGCAGCAGUGGGGAAUCUUGCGCAAUGGGCGAAAGCCUGACGCAGCAACGCCGCGUGGAGGAUGAAGGCCCUUGGGUUGUAAACUCCUGUCGGCUGGGAAGAAAUCGUUUGCGACUAAUACUCGCGGACGUUGACUGUACCAGCAAAGGAAGCCCCGGCUAACUCUGUGCCAGCAGCCGCGGUAAUACAGAGGGGGCCAGCGUUAUUCGGAAUUAUUGGGCGUAAAGGGCGCGUAGGCGGCCACGCGUGUCUUCCGUGAAAUCCCUCGGCUCAACCGAGGACGUGCGGAAGAAACUGCGAGGCUCGAGUCCAGAAGAGGGGGGCGGAAUUCCCAGUGUAGCGGUGAAAUGCGUAGAUAUUGGGAGGAACACCGGUGGCGAAGGCGGCCCCCUGGGCUGGUACUGACGCUGAUGCGCGAAAGCGUGGGUAGCAAACGGGAUUAGAUACCCCGGUAGUCCACGCCGUAAACGAUGGGCACUUGGUGUCGCGGGUAUCGACCCCUGCGGUGCCGAAGCUAACGCAUUAAGUGCCCCGCCUGGGGAGUACGGUCGCAAGGCUGAAACUCAAAGGAAUUGACGGGGGCCCGCACAAGCGGUGGAGCAUGUGGU
rnacentral:rRNA from 1 species